rnacentral:rRNA from 1 species
UAGCCGUAAACGAUACUCGCUAGGUGUCGGCCACGGUGCGACCGUUGUCGGUGCCGUAGGGAAGCCGUGAAGCGAGCCACCUGGGAAGUACGGCCGCAAGGCUGAAACUUAAAGGAAUUGGCGGGGGAGCACAACAACGGGUGGAGCUUGCGGUUUAAUUGGAUUCAACGCCGGAAAUCUUACCGGGACCGACAGCAACAUGAAGGCCAAGCUGAAGACUUUGCCGGAUUAGCUGAGAGGAGGUGCAUGGCG